UGUUGCCCAAACUGGGUUUGAAUUCCCGGCAUCAAAUGAUCUUCCUGCAUUGGCCUCCCAAAGUGCUGAGACUACAGAUGUGAGCCUUUUUCCGGUGUCUUAAAGUGAGAUUCCUGAGAGGAAGAUUUCAAAUCUUCCUCUUUUUCAAUAUAGGCAUUUACAGCUACAAAUUUCCCUUUUGGCAUGCCUUAAGCUAUAUCCCAUAAGUUUCGGUGUGCUGUGGCUUCAUUUUCUUUCACCUCAAGGUAUUUUCUACUUUCCCUCUUGAUUUUUCCUUUAAUCCAUUGGUUAUUUAGGAGUGUGUUGUUUAAUUUCCACAUAUUUGUGAGUUCCCCAAAUUUGUUUCUAUUAUUGAUUACUAGUUUUAUUCUGUUGUGAUCAGGGAACAUAUUUUGUAUUAUUUAUAUCCUAUUUAAUUUAUUGAGGUUUGUUUUAUGGGCUAGCACACAGUCUAUCCUGGAGGUGUGUUUCUCCACUGCUCUCUGGACUCAUCUGCACUCCACAGUUUAUGAUGAGAAGGCACCUGUUAAUAAUUCUUGCUUGGGUCGUCUCAUAAGGAAUGCGCCUCAAAGACAAGGACACAUAUGCUGCCACCUAGUGGAGAAAAAUGAGCUGUUUCUACAACUGCGUGAAGUCAUGAAUCACUUAACCACAGAAAUACAGAUACGCUCUGAGAAACGCGUCUUUAGGUGAUUUCAUCGUUGUGCGAACAUCAUAGAGUGUACGCACACAAACUUAGAUGGUAUAGUCUACUACACACCUAGGCUAUAUGGUAUAGCUUAUUUCACCGAGGCUACAACUCCUUACAGGAUAUUACUGUACUGAUACCGUAGGCAUUUGUAACAUGCCAGUAUUUGUGUCUAAACAUAUCUAAACAUAGAAAAGGUACAGUAAAAAUACGGUAUCAUAAUCUUA